rnacentral:misc_RNA from 1 species
UUUUUGUAUUUUGUCUUAAUUCAGAAAACUGAUUCAGAGUAAAAAUUGCCCGAAGGCAAGCAAAGGUAGUUUGUCACGGGUGGCCAGAAAAACUGGUAAUGAUCCUUCCGCAGGUUCACCUACGGAAA